ensembl:lncRNA novel transcript
AGAGGUCAGAGGCCGCGGGGAGGAACCCCCCUGUUGCUUCCGCCUCCCGGGGCGCAGGCGCUGGGCGCGGCGGGGAAGGGACUCGGCACUGGGGAAACCCGGAGUUUCAGCCAGGGUCCCAGGGCUUCCUUCCCGGGUUCCUGCCGGAAAACUUUUCUCCUCCGCCCGGAAGCCUCGAUGGGGCACCUGUCCUGCUCUGGCCUGCCCUGUGCUCAGGAAGCUGGCGGUCCCCCUCAGUGGAUCUUCACCCACAGGGACAACCUGCUGCAGACCGGGUAGGAGGGAGGCAGGGGCCUCUUCCCCUCUCCUUCCUGGCCUGGCCCCACACCCACCAGUGUUGGUUUCACUCUGUGGCUACGAUUCUUCCUGGGUGCCCUUUCCAUUGCACAACUCCUCUAGGCUCUACGAACAGAACUUCUCCCCGCCCCCAAGCCUCUUAGGGUGAGACAUGUUGUCGGUCUGCCAUUGUUGCUGGUCCCUAAAUAGCAGCACCCUUUGAAGGAUCCUUGAACCAUGACCACACCGCAACAAAGAGUCCUUCAUCAAACUCGCUUCCAAAUCCCCUCCCAAGAACACCUUCAGUUUCCUGCAAGAACCCUGACUGCUGAAGCCGGAUUUUGACUAAGCUUCUACCUUGUAAACCGUGACUGUGGGAUUGGGGUCGAGGCGCAAUCAGAGGUUGUAUAAGGCACUAGAUCAAGGCUGCCUGUCUGUCAGGAGUGUCUGCUUUAUUCAGUAGUAAAUGUGAAUUGUUUUUCAU